rnacentral:tRNA from 1 species
UGACUCCGUAGCUCAGCUGGUAGAGCAAAUGACUCUUAAUCAUUGGGUCGAGAGUUCGAAUCUCUCCGGGGUCACCC